GUGCUUGCUUCAGCAGGAUAUAUACUAAAAUUGAAACAAUACAGAGAAUAUUAGCAUGGCCCCUGUAAAAGGAUGGCACACAGAUUUGUGAAGCAUUCCAUAUUUUA